AGUGAACGCUGGCGGCAGGCCUAACACAUGCAAGUCGAGCGGCAGCACGGUACGUGCUUGUUCUUUCGGGGGGCGAGGGGCGGGUGGGUGAGGAGUAUCUCGGUAUCUACUUUUUCGAGGGGGAUAAAGCAGGCGAACAUACGGUAAUAGCGCAGACGGCCUACGGGUGGAAGCAGGGGAUCUUCGGAUCUUGCGCGAUCGAAUGAGGGUAGGUCGGAUUAGCUAGUUGGCGGGGUAAAGGCCCACCAAGGCGACGAUCCGUAGCUGGUCUGAGAGGAUGAUCAGCCACACUGGAACUGAGACACGGUCCAGACUCCUACGGGAGGCAGCAGUGGGGAAUAUUGGACAAUGGGCGCAAGCCUGAUCCAGCCAUACCGCGUGUGUGAAGAAGGCCUUCGGAUUGUAAAGCCCUUUUGGUUGGAAAGAAAAGCAGCAGGUUAAUACCCCGCUGUUCUGACGGUACCCAAAGAAUAAGCACCGGCUAACUUCGUG
rnacentral:rRNA from 1 species